CUACACAUGCAGUCGAGCGGGAUAUACCGGUUUAGUUUACUAAGCUGGUAAAUUCAGCGGCGGACGGGUGAGUAACGCGUGAGCAAUCUGCCUUGUACAGGGGGAUAACAGCCGGAAACGGCUGCUAAUACCGCAUAAGGCCACAGUACCGCAUGGUACAGGGGUCAAAGGAGAGAUCCGGUAUAAGAUGAGCUCGCGUUCCAUUAGCUGGUUGGUGAGGUAACGGCCCACCAAGGCAACGAUGGGUAGCCGGCCUGAGAGGGUGAACGGCCACAUUGGGACUGGGACACGGCCCAAACUCCUACGGGAGGCAGCAGUGGGGGAUAUUGCGCAAUGGGGGAAACCCUGACGCAGCAACACCGCGUGAGUGAAGGAGGCCUUCGGGUCGUAAAACUCUGUGACAGGGGAAGAAGAAAGUGACGGUACCCCGAGAGGAAGCCCCGGCUAACUACGUGCCAGCAGCCGCGGUAACACGUAGGGGGCAAGCGUUGUCCGGAAUUACUGGGCGUAAAGGGUGCGUAGGCGGCCGAGCAAGUCCGAUGUGAAAGACCACGGCUAAACUGUGGGGGUGCAUAGGAAACUGUCCGGCUUGAGUGCAGGAGAGGAAAGUGGAAUUCCUAGUGUAGCGGUGAAAUGCGUAGAGAUUAGGAAGAACACCAGUGGCGAAGGCGAUUUUCUGGACUGUAACUGACGCUGAGGCACGAAAGCGUGGGGAGCGAACAGGAUUAGAUACCCUGGUA
rnacentral:rRNA from 1 species